UACAGAGGUCUCAACCGUUGUUCGGAUUCAUUGGGCGUAAAGGGUGCGUAGGCGGUCGUGCAAGUCGGAUGUGAAAUCUCGGAGCUUAACUCCGAAACUGCAUUCGAUACUGCCGUGCUUGAGGACUGGAGAGGAGACUGGAAUUUACGGUGUAGCGGUGAAAUGCGUAGAUAUCGUAAGGAAGACCAGUGGCGAAGGCGGGUCUCUGGACAGUUCCUGACGCUGAGGCACGAAGGCCAGGGGAGCAAACGGG
rnacentral:rRNA from 1 species